rnacentral:rRNA from 1 species
CCUGAUGGAGGGGGAUAACUACUGGAAACGGUAGCUAAUACCGCAUAACGUCGCAAGACCAAAGAGGGGGACCUUCGGGCCUCUUGCCAUCGGAUGUGCCCAGAUGGGAUUAGCUAGUAGGUGGGGUAACGGCUCACCUAGGCGACGAUCCCUAGCUGGUCUGAGAGGAUGACCAGCCACACUGGAACUGAGACACGGUCCAGACUCCUACGGGAGGCAGCAGUGGGGAAUAUUGCACAAUGGGCGCAAGCCUGAUGCAGCCAUGCCGCGUGUAUGAAGAAGGCCUUCGGGUUGUAAAGUACUUUCAGCGGGGAGGAAGGGAGUAAAGUUAAUACCUUUGCUCAUUGACGUUACCCGCAGAAGAAGCACCGGCUAACUCCGUGCCAGCAGCCGCGGUAAUACGGAGGGUGCAAGCGUUAAUCGGAAUUACUGGGCGUAAAGCGCACGCAGGCGGUUUGUUAAGUCAGAUGUGAAAU